AGUGAACGCUGGCGGUAGGCCUAACACAUGCAAGUCGAACGGCAGCACAGUAAGAGCUUGCUCUUACGGGUGGCGAGUGGCGGACGGGUGAGGAAUACAUCGGAAUCUACUUUUUCGUGGGGGAUAACGUAGGGAAACUUACGCUAAUACCGCAUACGACCUACGGGUGAAAGCAGGGGAUCUUCGGACCUUGCGCGAUUGAAUGAGCCGAUGUCGGACUAGCUAGUUGGCGGGGUGAAGGCCCACCAAGGCGACGAUCCGUAGCUGGUCUGAGAGGAUGAUCAGCCACACUAGAGCUGGGACACGGUCCAGACGCCUACGGGAGGCAGCAGUGGGGAAUAUUGGACAAUGGGCGCAAGCCUGAUCCAGCCAUACCGCGUGGGUGAAGAAGGCCUUCGGGUUGUAAAGACCUUUUGUUGGGAAAGAAAAGCAGCAGGUUAAUACCCCGCUGUUCUGACGGUACCCAAAGAAUAAGCACCGGCUAACUUCGUG
rnacentral:rRNA from 1 species